UACGUAGGGGCAAGCGUUGUCCGGAAUCAUUGGGCGUAAAGCGCGUGUAGGCGGUUCGGUAAGUCUGCUGUGAAAGUCCAGGGCUCAACCCUGGGAUGCCGGUGGAUACUGUCGGACUAGAGUACGGAAGAGGCGAGUGGAAUUCCCGGUGUAGCGGUGAAAUGCGCAGAUAUCGGGAGGAACACCAAUUGCGAAGGCAGCUCGCUGGGACGUUACUGACGCUGAGGAGCGAAAGCAUGGGAGCGAACAG
rnacentral:rRNA from 1 species